GUUGACCUCGGAUCAGGUACGGAUU
rnacentral:rRNA from 1 species